UUACAGCCAUACCACGUUGAAACCCCAGUUCUUGUAUGAUCACUGAAAUUAAGCAACGUCGAGCCUGGUCAUUACCAAGAGGGGUGACUGCUCUGGAAUGCCAGGUGCUGUAAG